CUACACGCAUGUCAUCUAAGCCCAGCCUGUCUAGGGUCCCCUCUGUGUCUCUCAGUGAUGGUGCAGCAGAGUCAGUCUCUAUGGAAGUCAUCUCUAAUGUGGAGGAUAUUUAUACAGCACCAUCAGUGGAGCAGAUUGUGUCUUCAACUGCUGCUGUGGUCGGCAUUUCACCAGCAGCGUCUGCUAGAUGUUCCUCAAAUGACAUGUCUGGAAGAACUUGUUUCGAAGCAGCAGUAGUGGGAGCAGAGAUACCAGAGAAACACACCUCUCCAAAAGUUUCUCCACAGACAUCUUUAAUGUCAGGUAAAGUAAUUCAUGAUUUAUUAAAUACAUUAAGAUUGCUGCGUUAAUAAGGUCCAUAUCACCUUUUCGGUAAAAGUGGGAAGUUUAAAAUAUUGUUCUAAUUUUUACUUUGUCGCCCCAUCUCUAGCUCAUGUUGGUGAAUCUAUGAGAGGUACAGACAUUUCACCUAAAUCUAGUCUGGACAGGAUUUCCUCUAUUGGUGAAAGAGCAGCAGAAUCAGCUUCUAGAGAAGUGAUGUAUAUGGAGGAGAUGUAUAAAGCAUCAAUGGCAGAACUACCAGGGCCUCCAGCUGCUGUUGGAGGUAUUUCACAAACAGUGUCUGCUAGAUGUUCACAAGGUGACAUGGCAGAAAGAGCCCCCUCUGAAACAGUAGUAGGGAGAGACACAUCUUCCAGAGUUUCUCCUAGGGUUUCUCCACAAACAUCUGUGAGCUCAGCUACAGGCUUGUCAUCUAAGUUCAGUCUUGCCAGGGUUCCCUCUGUGUCUCUCAGGGAUGGUGCAACCGAACCAGCUCAGAUAGACAACGAAACACUGUCAAUGGAGGAGCUUAUGACGUCUCCAUUGUAUUCUCAUUGGUCACCAGCCGGUUCUGAAAGUGACUUAUUAGGCUUAAAAGGAGCUCCCUCUGAAACAGCAGUGGAUGGAGCACACAGAGGGUUCUUGGUAACGAUACCCAGUAGAGAGGAGAGUGUGAUGAGAACAGCAGAGACACCAGAGAGAGACACAUCUCCCAGUGUUUCUCCACAGACUUCGUUUACAGGUGUUGUUUCUGAUGUGACAGUUUUCUACAGAGAUUCAUCUGUGGGAGAAUUGCAUCUUUCUCCAUCUGUUGGUGAGGAACUUGUGGUGGAGGCUUACGAAUUACCAUCACUGGAGAAGAAGGAGACUCCAUCUACUUCAGUUGGUAGACUUUCACCAGUAGUGUCUGCAAGAUAUACUGGAAGUGGUUUAACAAGAAGAGCUUUCUCUGAAAAAGAAGUAACGAGACCAGAGACACCAGAUAGACACAUGUCUCCCAGACUUUCUCCUAGAGUUUCUCCACAGUCCAGUCUGACCAGGAUUUCCUCUGCACCAACAAUGGAGGAGCCACGGAUGUCUCCAACUGCUUCUGUUGGUAGACUUUCACCAGCAGUGUCUUCUGUAAGAUAUUCCGGAAGGGGUUUAUCAGGAAGACCUUUCUCUGAAACAGAACUAGUGGAUGCAGCACACAGAGUGUCCUCAGUCAGGAUACCCAGUAGAGAGGAGAGUGUGAGGAGAACAGCAGAGACACCAGAGAGACACACAUCUCCCAGAGUGUUUCCUAGAUCUUCGCAAAGAGUUUCUCCACAAACCUCUCUCAUAUCAGGUACAAUUGUCAUCCAUACUCUGUAG
ensembl:lncRNA mucin-12-like